rnacentral:rRNA from 1 species
GAUGAACGCUGGCGGCGUGCCUAAUACAUGCAAGUCGAGCGAAGAGGGGACGGGGGAGGAAAACGUGGAUAACCUCCUAUAAGACUGGGAUAACUUCGGGAAACCGGAGCUAAUCCGGAUUCUUAUCGAUGGAUCCGCGCUCGAUUAGCUAGGUGGUAAGGUAACGGCUUACCAAGGCAACGAUUCAUAGCCGACCUGAGAGGGUGAUCGGCCACACUGGAACUGAGACACGGUCCAGACUCCUACGGGAGGCAGCAGUAGGGAAUCUUCCGCAAUGGGCGAAAGCCUGACGGAGCAACGCCGCGUGAGUGAUGAAGGUCUUCGGAUUGUAAAACUCUGUUAUUAGGGAAGCGGUACCGAAUCAGAAAGCCACGGCUAACUCCGUGCCAGCAGCCGCGGUAAUUC